CCUUAGAGUUUGAUCCUGGCUCAGAUUGAACGCUGGCGGCAGGCCUAACACAUGCAAGUCGAGCGGCAGCACGGGUACUUGUACCUGGUGGCGAGCGGCGGACGGGUGAGUAAUGCCUAGGAAUCUGCCUGGUAGUGGGGGAUAACGCUCGGAAACGGACGCUAAUACCGCAUACGUCCUACGGGAGAAAGCAGGGGACCUUCGGGCCUUGCGCUAUCAGAUGAGCCUAGGUCGGAUUAGCUAGUUGGUGAGGUAAUGGCUCACCAAGGCGACGAUCCGUAACUGGUCUGAGAGGAUGAUCAGUCACACUGGAACUGAGACACGGUCCAGACUCCUACGGGAGGCAGCAGUGGGGAAUAUUGGACAAUGGGCGAAAGCCUGAUCCAGCCAUGCCGCGUGUGUGAAGAAGGUCUUCGGAUUGUAAAGCACUUUAAGUUGGGAGGAAGGGCAUUAACCUAAUACGUUAGUGUUUUGACGUUACCGACAGAAUAAGCACCGGCUAACUCUGUGCCAGCAGCCGCGGUAAUACAGAGGGUGCAAGCGUUAAUCGGAAUUACUGGGCGUAAAGCGCGCGUAGGUGGUUCGUUAAGUUGGAUGUGAAAUCCCCGGGCUCAACCUGGGAACUGCAUU
rnacentral:rRNA from 2 species